rnacentral:rRNA from 1 species
UACGGAAGGCAGCAGUGGGGAAUAUUGCACAAUGGGCGCAAGCCUGAUGCAGCCAUGCCGCGUGUAUGAAGAAGGCCUUCGGGUUGUAAAGUACUUUCAGUCGUGAGGAAGGUGUUAAGGUUAAUAACCUUAGCAAUUGACGUUAGCGACAGAAGAAGCACCGGCUAACUCCGUGCCAGCAGCCGCGGUAAUACGGAGGGUGCGAGCGUUAAUCGGAAUUACUGGGCGUAAAGGGCACGCAGGCGGUUAAUUAAGUUGGAUGUGAAAUCCCCGGGCUUAACCUGGGAAUGGCAUUCAAGACUGGUUAGCUAGAGUCUUGUAGAGGGGGUAGAAUUCCAUGUGUAGCGGUGAAAUGCGUAGAGAUGUGGAGGAUACCGGUGGCGAAGGCGGCCCCUGGGACAAAGGCUGACGCUCAUGUGCGAAAGCGUGGGGAGCAAAC